AGUGAACGCUGGCGGUAGGCCUAGCACAUGCAAGUCGAACGGCAGCACAGUAAGAACUUGCUCUUACGGGUGGCGAGUGGCGGACGGGUGAGGAAUACAUCGGAAUCUACUUUUUCGUGGGGGAUAACGUAGGGAAACUUACGCUAAUACCGCAUACGACCUACGGGUGAAAGCAGGGGAUCUUCGGACCUUGCGCGAUUGAAUGAGCCGAUGUCGGAUUAGCUAGUUGGCGGGGUAAAGGCCCACCAAGGCGACGAUCCGUAGCUGGUCUGAGAGGAUGAUCAGCCACACUGGAACUGAGACACGGUCCAGACGACUAAGGGAGGCAGCAGUGGGGAAUAUUGGACAAUGGGCGCAAGCCUGAUCCAGCCAUACCGAGUGGGUGAAGAAGGCCUUCGGGUUGUAAAGCCCUUUUGUUGGGAAAGAAAAGCAGCAGGUUAAUACCCCGCUGUUCUGACGGUACCCAAAGAAUAAGCACCGGCUAACUUCGUG
rnacentral:rRNA from 1 species